rnacentral:lncRNA from 13 species
AAGUUGGUGAGGGGAAGCUUAUGUCAGCUUGGUUUGCCUGUCCAUAAACUUAGAUGACUGGCCACUCAUGGGGAUGACUGAAGGCUGUGGCUGGAGAGCAGUCCCGAGGCGAGAUUUAGAGCAAGUGAAAAGCUCAAGUACAAAGCCUACCCCCAGGUGAGCAGGAACUGGGGAAGUAUAAAUGCUGCACUUAUAUCUCACCUGUAGGCUGGGAGAUUGGAGGUGGGAUUCUCAACCAUUUGAGAAUGAGCUUUUGCCUUGAUGGUGCUCCUUGACUUGAAUGCCCAAGGACUCCAUAGAAACAUUACCUAUUUGAUAUAGUUUGGCACUGUGUUUUGACCCAAAUCUCGUGUUGAAUUGUAAUUCCCAAUGUUGGGGGAGCGACCUGAUGGGAGGUGAUUGGAACAUGGGGGUGGAUUUCCCGUUUGCUGGUCUCGUGAUAGUGAGCGAGUUCUCAUGAGAUCUGGUUUAAAAGUGUGUAGCACUUCCCCCGUCACUCUCUGUUCCUCCUGCGCAGCCAUGUGAAGAAGAAAUGUGCUUCCCCUUCGCCUUCUGCCAUGAUUGUAAGUUUCCUGAGGCCUCCACAGCCUUGCUUCCUGUACAGCCUGCAGAAUACAUGGAUGACCAUCACAGGCUCUUAAUUAAGAGAGUGAAGAUGAUGGGAUAUCUUGAUUUAGAAAGCUAAACAAGGAGAUCAGGCAAGAGGCUUUCUACAUUGGCCCGGGUCAGAAGUGCAAUUCUAUGCUGCAUUCUGAAAACUGGCUACAUUCUU